CCCUUAGAUGUUCUGGGCCGCACGCGUGCUACACUGAGUAAUUCAAUGGGUAAGGGAACGCUAGAGCAUUACCUAAUCUUGAAAUUUGCUCGUGAUGGGGAUCGACGGUUGCAAUUUUCCGUCGUGUACGAGGAAUACCUUGUAGGCGCAUGUCAUCAUCAUGCGCCGAAUACGUCCCUGCCCUUUGUACACACCGCCCGUCGCUCCUACCGAUUGAGUGAUCCGGUGAGGCUCUGGGACCUGGACGGAAAGAGCGUUUCGCUUGUUCUGUUUGGGAAACUUGGUCGAACCUUAUCAUUUAGAGGAAGGAGAAGUCGUAACA
rnacentral:rRNA from 1 species